ACGCNGUAACACGAUGAGUGCUAAGUGUUAGAGGGNUUCCGCUCNUUUAGUGCUGCAGCUAACGCAUNNAGCACUCCGCCUGGGGAGUACGGCCGCAAGGCUGAAACUCAAAGGAAUUGACGGGGGCCCGCACAAGCGGUGGAGCAUGUGGUUUAAUUCGGAGCAACGCGAAGAACCUUACCAGGUCUUGACAUCCUCUGACACUCCUAGAGAUAGGACGUUCCCCUUCGGGGGACAGAGUGACAGGUGGUGCAUGGUUGUCGUCAGCUCGUGUCGUGAGAUGUUGGGUUAAGUCCCGCAACGAGCGCAACCCUUGUUCUUAGUUGCCAGCAUUCAGUUGGGCACUCUAAGGAGACUGCCGGUGACAAACCGGAGGAAGGUGGGGAUGACGUCAAAUCAUCAUGCCCCUUAUGACCUGGGCUACACACGUGCUACAAUGGAUGGUACAAAGGGCUGCAAGACCGCGAGGUUUAGCCAAUCCCAUAAAACCAUUCUCAGUUCGGAUUGUAGGCUGCAACUCGCCUACAUGAAGCCGGAAUCGCUAGUAAUCGCGGAUCAGCAUGCCGCGGUGAAUACGUUCCCGGGCCUUGUACACACCGNCCGUCACGCCACGAGAGUUUGUAACACCCGAAGUCGGUGNGGUAAACNAGCAAGGGGGCCAGNCGCCU
rnacentral:rRNA from 1 species